UUGCCCUAGUAACGGCGAGUGAAGCGGCAACAGCUCAAAUNUGAAAUCUGGCUCUUUAGGGCCCGAGUUGUAAUUUGUAGAGGAUGCUUUUGGCGCGGUGCCUUCCGAGUUCCCUGGAACGGGACGCCUUAGAGGGUGAGAGCCCCGUACGGUUGGACACCAAGCCUCUGUAAAGCUCCUUCGACGAGUCGAGUAGUUUGGGAAUGCUGCUCUAAAUGGGAGGUAAAUUUCUUCUAAAGCUAAAUAUUGGCCAGAGACCGAUAGCGCACAAGUAGAGUGAUCGAAAGAUGAAAAGCACUUUGAAAAGAGGGUUAAAUAGCACGUGAAAUUGUUGAAAGGGAAGCGUUUGCGACCAGACCUUUUCCUAGCGGAUCAUCCGGUGUUUUUCGCCGGUGCACUUCGCUAGGUCGAGGCCAGCAUCGGUUUCUGCAGGGGGAUAAAAGCCCAGGGAACGUAGCUCUUUCGGGAGUGUUAUAGCCCUCCGCAUAAUACCCUUGCGGGGACCGAGGACCGCGCUUUUUGCAAGGAUGCUGGCGUAAUGGUCGUCAACGACCCG
rnacentral:rRNA from 1 species